rnacentral:lncRNA from 1 species
GGCACGUGCUUGACCCUUGCCUGAGGUGCGGAGACACUCCCCCGCCCCACCGCCCAGAACCGCGGCUCUGAGCGUGGACAGACACCGCCUGAUGGGGCUGUGACAGUGCUGUCCCCUUGCUUUUCUCCACGAAGUGUCUCCUCAGCUCACUUAGGAUGUACUCUCCACACUCCACCUGAAGGUUGGCAUUCUUUUUUAUUUUUAUUUUUUGCUAUUUUAGGGCCAUACUUGUGGCAUAUGGAGGUCCCAGGCCAGGGACUGGCACUGCAUCUUUGACCUACACCACAGCUAACGGCAACGCUGGGUCCUUAACCCACUGAGUGAGGCCAGGGAUUGAACCCUCAUCCUCAUGGAUCCUAGUCAGGUUUGUUAACCACUGAGCCAUGAUGGGAACUCACCAGGUUGACAUUAUUAACAUGUAGAGUAAUUCAGCUGAAUUUUGCUGGGAUUUACCUUAAAUUGCUCAUGUAGCUAUACUUUUAUUUAUAAUAACAAUAAUAAUCUUUGAUAACCUGGUGCAUGAAACAGUUUUUAAGAUGAAAAAAGCAGUCCUGCCUUAAGAUGGGCAAAGUUCUAUACAGUUGGAUCCAUGCAUGAGGCAGAAAGACCCAGGAUGGUGUGGGUGCCAGACCCCCAUGUGACUAAGAUCUAUGGCAAUGUCUUCAAAAACUCCUUUCGCCUUUGGAAAUACAUAUUCUGUAGCACAGUGCAUACUAUUUUACUAUAAGUAAAAUCAAAACAAUGUCAAGUGUUGCCAGAAUAUAGGCAGCACUUUGUGAAUUUAGAAUAUUCCUUAUUUCAUGAUGCAUUAGCAUGCUUGGGAAAAUUUCAUUGGUUUAUUUAAAGAUGACGUACAUCUCUUGAUCCCUCUUGGGUGCCUUCAAAAGACACCAGCCAUUUGGAGAGGGUGGAACUCCUGUGCCCUCGUGUCCAUCCAGCCAGCCCCUGCCUUGAGUGGUCCCACACAACGUUACUCUGAGGACAGAGGGGAGGGACCAGGUGGCAGCUUAUUUGGAACAGAACCCACCAGGGGCUCAGGCUGGGUUUUGUUCAGCCCUGAGACAAGGUGGAGCUGGAGGACCCAGGACCUGUCCUUUAAACCAGGGAGCUUUGACAUGGGACCUGCCAGGUUUGUCUCCAUCCCCCGAGCCCACUUUAUGCUCCUGUGCUGCCAGCAUAUGAGCCAGGCCACCUGCCUGGGCAGCCAGGAGAGCAGCAGCCAGGCCAGAGCUGUGCUGUUCGGUCCCCUCGUUUGUCUCAGGGUUUAUGACACAUUGAAUGUCAUCUCACGUUGUCUCCGUCCCUUUCCGACGUGCCUCAGCCUAAACUCAGGUUGACUCCCAAGCCAUCAUCACAUUUGAACAUCUCUGAGUCAACUAUCUACGCCGAUCGUGGGUGACAUACAUGACAGUAGUGUCUCACUGACCUUGGUUGCACCUCCCUUGACCUUCAGAUUUGUCACAGUUGGGUCUAUUUAUCUUUUUGGAGGUGGGGGGUGGGGAUCACCACACAUGUUUUGGUUUGUUAUUAGUGUCUUCCAAAGAUCACCACAGUCUUUGGGAAUUCAACAACCUAAAGCGAUUGGUGGGUCAGGUAUCCUUCUGGGGCCAAGUCUGGCAGCUUCACUGCCGAGGAUAAAAAACACUUCCAGGGGUGUAACCCCCAGCAUUUUAAGGGAAUAUAAAGAAACAUGAAACUUUAUAGCCAUAGGAAUUUCUUUUUUGCCCAGGCUCUUUUGGUCAUUUCUCAGAUUUUAGAAAUUAUUUUUUAGGUAUUCACAGUUUUUCUAUGAAGUAAUGUAACCUGACCUGCUUCUCACCUUCCUCACACUUAAGUGCUUCUCAAAAAUAGCAGAUCUGCCCUUAAAAUGAGAAAGUUUAUGACCGUGACUUCAGCUGGUUGGGUUUUCUCCCACGGUUUCAGCAGUUGGACAGACUGCUUUUCUGGACCCCAGGUAUGUGGUGAGAUGUGCAGGAGGCGGGGGGCAGGGUUAUGAGUAGGAGUCAGGUACCGUGAAGGACAUCACAGCUUCUGACUGUUGACGCUUGUGGUCAGAGGUAGGAUUCGGGCUUCCUUACACUGCAAGUCCAGCCCAGAUUCUAAGGAAAUGGGAGCAGCCAUCAGUGAUCCAAAGAAUGAAAAAUGCGAAUAUUAAGCAAAUGCGAAUAUUAAGCAAAUGCGAAACACAUAGCGUCAUUGUCCCUGGAGCUGUUGGUGGUGUUGGAUCGCUGGGGGAGCCUGGCCAUCAUCCUUAUUACCUGCCUGGGGUUGACACCUCUGCCAGGCUGGGCACAGGAGACUGGGCUGUCUCUCUGGUCCAGGUGCCUCUCACACAGCAGUGGUUUCUUGGCAUCUGGGCAUAAAUGAAUGUAAUAAGAGGAGUUCCUGGAAUUCCCAUUGUGGCUCAGUGAAAACAAAUCUGACUGGUAUCCAUGAGGAUCCAGGUUUGAUCCCUGGCCUCACUCAGUUAAGGAUCUGGUAUUGCCCUGAGCUGUGGUGUAGGUUGCAGAUGUAGCUUGGAUCUGGUGUUGCUGUGGCUGAGGCGUAGGCCAAUGGCUACAGCUCCAAUUUGGCCCCCUAGCCUGGGAACCUCCAUAUAC